UUUCAGUGUAAGUGCAACACAUAUAUGGCCAACUAAAAGCAGGUGACCAUAUUCAUUCAUUCAGUCAUUCACAAACAAAUAAAUAAUUCCCCUUUUGGCUUGCUUAUAGUUGGCACUUAAUAUCAGGCAACAUUAUUGACUUGAAUUUACUGACACUAUUGGAUGAGAACUAAACUGAGCUGAGCCGAACAUCAGUGUUUUGCAGAGCUGUUCUAUAGAUAACUAUAACUUAUAAUGAUUUCACACAUUUAUUAAACUGAAAUCAGUCAACAAUGAACCAACUUUCACUGAAAAAUGUCCUGUUUGAUAUUGUCCUGUUUUUUUAGCGCUACAGCAGAAUUCAAUCUUGUUUGCAUCACUGAAACAUUAUUUUCCUGUUUCACACUGUGAAUGAAUGAAUGAAUGAAUAAAUAUCAAAAUAUUAUUGAAGAUUUUAAUACAAUUAAAUAUUUGUAUAUAUUUUUCUUUUUUUAAUAAGAUGGAUAAAAAUAGUGAUGCUGUCUUUCACACGUGUGUAUAAUGUUGAUGAGCGUGUGCUGCUUCAGUGACAUUGAUGUGAACAUGAGCUCUCAGCACUUUCCCAGAGUCACCCUCCACCUGCUCCUUUGAGCCCCUGAUGGAGGAUCAUUGAGCAUGUGGCGGUCCACAUCCCUCAUUGUCUGUUUGAGCUCUUCUAUUGGCUCCAAACUGUGAGAAACUCCAACAAGCUCGAGCCUCACACAUUCAUAUGGAGAUUUGGGAGUAUAAAUAGAGGAGCUGCAGCCAGUGCAAAUCAGACUCACUCUGAACAGAGAGAUCUACAGCACAGAGAUCCAGACAUGACACCUACAAUCAUCUCAAAGGAGCAGCUCCCUCUCAACAACAAGGUACAUUCACAUCCUACUUACAGCAGCAUUACUGCAGCAGCUUUCAAUGCUCUUCUACAUCAUUGGCUUAUUUGAAGAACACUUUCCUAAAGCUUUUUUGUCUUCAUUUGCAGCUGAGAAAGCAAUGCCAAGGGUGGAGAAGAUGCACAGAGAUUGUAUCAACAGCAGCAUCGAGCAGCUCAAGUGUCUUCUGGCUCCAGAGUUCCUCAAACAGCAGCCUGAUUCCAAGCUGGAGAAAGCAGAUAUCCUGGAGAUGACGCUUAACUUCCUGCAGUUCACAUGCUGUCAGUCAAGGCUUCUCCAGGUGUGUACAAAGAUAGACUGAUGAAGCACUUCCAGAAGCUGCAGACUUCAUGUGAGCAGAACUGGAGGGAAAGUGUCCUGCCAGACCAGAACACCUUCAGCAAAGAGAUGAAUAUCAACAAGAGCAUCAUCUGGAGACCUUGGUAGAGCCUUAAAGAAUCAGACUGGACGUUUGCACUAGACUCAGUGGACUUUUAUGCUUUUAGUUUCUCUUUUUGAGGAAAAGUGUUUCAUGAGUUCCAGUUUGGAAGAUAUUUGUACUGUUAAGUGCUCUGAUGAUUUAAUCUUAUAUGAAGAGUUCAUGUCAAGAGUUCCAGAUGGGAACAUUUACUUCUAUAUUAGACACUGACUGCAAGAUACAUCUGCAUGUGAUGUGAAAGAAACACUGUCUUUAUUAUUUUAAAGGCCAUUUAUUAUCUGAUAACUACUCAGAUACUAAUGCUUUAUUGUAAAAGCUGAAAAAGAGUGAAAUUCUUGAUAUUAAUAUGAUGGCAAGAAUCUUGCUCCAUUAUUAGUUCUGGACUGUUUAUAUAAAAUGGCUCAAAAUGGGCUUAUAUUUGAUUUCAUCUGAGAUGAUAAUCAUUCAUACAGUAUUAUUCAUAUUUGAUGUUUUUCUCUUUGGUCUAUAAUAGAUCAUAUUCACAUUUACCCUAUUUUUAGGGUUUGUGAACAUUUGUUGGUUCUCAACGCUCUCCGAAUCUUUUCCUGUACUGUAUACAGCUGUCAUUGUUCCUUCUGUGAAGGUUUAUAUUCUCAUGAUAAACUUUGCCAUCAUGUCAUUUAUAUUUUUAAUAGAUCAUGUGAUCAUUUGUGUACUUCUGUGAAGGUGACUGAAGUUUUAAAAGACUAAAGCAGUUCAGUGAAUGUAUUUCUGCUGCAAAAUAAAACAAUCAACUGAACGUCUGACUGUGAUUAU
ensembl:lncRNA